rnacentral:rRNA from 1 species
GAUGAACGCUGGCGGCGUGCCUAAUACAUGCCAGUCGAGCGGACAGAUGAGAAGCUUCCUCCUCUGACGUUAGCGGCAGACGUGUGAGUAACACGUGUGUAACCUACCUAUCAUACUGGUAUGACUUCGGGAAACCGGAUCUUAUACCGUAUAAUAUAUUCAACCGCAUGGUUCAGUAGUGAAAGACGGGUUUGCUGUCACUUAUAGAUCUAUCCGCUCCGCAUUAGCUAGUUGGUAAGGUAACGGCUUACCAAGGCAACGAUGCGUAGCCGACCUGAGAGGGUGAUCGGCCACACUGGAACUGAGAGACGCACCAGACUCCUACGGGAGGCAGCAGUAGGGAAUCUUCCGCAAUGGGCGAAAGCUUGACGGAGCACGGAAGCGUGAGUCAUGAAGGUCGUCGGAUCGUAAAACUCUGUUAGGAGGGAAGAACAAUUGUGUAAGUACCUAUGCACGUCUUGACGGUACCUAAUGAGAAAGCCACGGCUAACUACGUG